ACAAUAACUGGCAGGGAAAAUACCAAGAUCAUGAAUGUGGUUUUCCCAGACCAAGGCUUAUCCAUUGCACUCUGGUUGUGCUGACCCCCGCCUUUUCCCCAAAUGUGGGAAAUCUGAUUGCUUAACUUGUGGUAAUAGUGAUCUGCACUUGUGCUAAAAACAG
rnacentral:snRNA from 1 species